GAAAAUGGGAAAAGAAUUGCAAGAAAACGCAGGAAGCAUUGUUGUGUUGAUGGAGGUGUGGCUGCAUCAAGCAAAAGAAUGUUGACUGGCCAUAUGACAUACAGGAUAGACAUAUUUGAUGGUGAAUUGAAGAUUGAGAAAAGGGAGAUGGAUGUGGCAGAUAAAAAUGGAUUUAAAUUACAUUAGGUGAUGUUAUCUUGUAUCAACAUGAUAUGGUGAAAGAAAGUUGGCGC